rnacentral:rRNA from 1 species
GGUUUAGCCUAUAAAAAUUUAUUUAAAAAGAUUAAAAGCCAAAGAAGGUGUCAGUCCUGUAAUGAUAAAUUAAAUAAAUUAUAAAGUAAAAUGUUAUAUGUUAAAUAAUAUUUGAAAAUGACAAAAACUAUUGUUGGCUUAAAUACUAUUUAUAAUCGAUAGCGAACUAGUAAUGUAAAUGAAAGUUGAAAAAGUUUCCAUUUUUGGAUAUUUAAAAGAAACUGAAAUUUCAAACUAAUUAGUAGUUAUUGCUUUUUUAUAAGUUAAUUAAAAAAAUUUAUAAGGAUAUAAGUAAUAGUGUACCUUUUGCACAAGGGUCCAACAAGUUAAUUUAUAUAGCAAGUCAAAAUGAGACGUAAAGAAAUUAAGUUUGAAAAAUAGCUAAUAGUUAUAUGAAUUAAACCCGAAACCAAAGGAUUUAACCGUGAACAAGCCGAAAAUAAGUUUUAUUGGAGGGCUGAACCAAUAUUUGUUGCAAUAAAUUUAGGAUGAUUUACGGUUCGGAGUGAAAAGCUAAUCGACUUUGGUGAUAGCUGGUUUUCUGCGAAAACUAUUUAGGUAGUGUGUUAUUAAUAAAUAAUAAAUUAGGU